CUCGAGCGGCGAACGGGUGAGUAACACGUGAGUAAUCUGCCCCUGGCUUUGGGAUAGCCACCGGAAACGGUGAUUAAUACCGGAUAUGACCACUUUACGCAUGUUUGGUGGUGGAAAGUUUUUCGGCCAGGGAUGUGCUCGCGGCCUAUCAGCUUGAUGGUGAGGUAAUGGCUCACCAUGGCUUCGACGGGUAGCCGGCCUGAGAGGGUGACCGGCCACACUGGGACUGAGACACGGCCCAGACUCCUACGGGAGGCAGCAGUGGGGAAUAUUGGACAAUGGGCGGAAGCCUGAUCCAGCAACGCCGCGUGAGGGAUGACGGCCUUCGGGUUGUAAACCUCUUUCAGUACCGACGAAGCGCAAGUGACGGUAGGUACAGAAGAAGCACCGGCCAACUACGUGCCAGCAGCCGCGGUAAUACGUAGGGUGCGAGCGUUGUCCGGAAUUAUUGGGCGUAAAGGGCUCGUAGGCGGUUUGUCGCGUCGGGAGUGAAAACCAGGUGCUUAACACCUGGCUUGCUUCCGAUACGGGCAGACUAGAGGUAUUCAGGGGAGAACGGAAUUCCUGGUGUAGCGGUGAAAUGCGCAGAUAUCAGGAGGAACACCGGUGGCGAAGGCGGUUCUCUGGGAAUAUCCUGACGCUGAGGAGCGAAAGUGUGGGGAGCGAACAGGAUUAGAUACCCUGGUAGUCCACACCGUAAACGUUGGGCGCUAGGUG
rnacentral:rRNA from 1 species